UGGCAUCAGGAACAAAGUUAUAAUUUGUGUCAUUUUCUGAAACUAUAUGGAGUUAAAAUGGUCUCGUCACUCUGGCUUGCAGAUUUAGUUGCUCUUUUAACCUUCCAGGAUUCAUAGAUCGGUGCGUCUCAAUUUUCUUGUGUUUUGGUCAUUGAGGGAGAGGAACAGCUGGAUGUGUUAGAAAUGAAUCCCUGCAUCCUUUUGGUGACUGAAAAAUUGUAAUUGGUAACAGCAAUCAAAUAUGUGCAAUGCUGCUGGAUUUACUCAUGACGCGUUGAACUCAACGAUCUGUACAGGUGGCAGAUAUCCGCAUGUUCAUGCGAUGACUAAAGGAUCUUGUUCACCUAAACCCCCCUUCCGUUGAUUAUCUUCUUUUCAAAACAAAGAUGUUGACAUUCAUCAGCUAAAAGAAAUCGACAUUCAUCCAACCGGCAGCCAAGGCGCCAGUUUGAACUUCAGAGGAUUAAUUUGUUAAUCAACUUUAACAGUUUAAACGAGGGCUCUUGCUCAUAAGAUGAGCUGCAACGUUCCAUAUUUGACCUUGUACUUGUUUAGUUUCUUUUUUUUCUUCCAAAGUAUUCACAAUAUGAAUUCAUCAAGGAUCUCCUUAUUUGAUACAUUACA